rnacentral:rRNA from 1 species
UACGUAGGGUGCAAGCGUUACUCGGAAUUACUGGGCGUAAAGCGUGCGCAGGCGGUUGUGCAAGUCAGAUGUGAAAUCCCCGGGCUUAACCUGGGAACUGCAUUUGUGACUGCACAGCUGGAGUGCGGCAGAGGGGGAUGGAAUUCCGCGUGUAGCAGUGAAAUGCGUAGAUAUGCGGAGGAACACCGAUGGCGAAGGCAAUCCCCUGGGCCUGCACUGACGCUCAUGCACGAAAGCGUGGGGAGCAAACAGG